rnacentral:rRNA from 1 species
GAAGGAAUUUUGGACAAUGGGGGAAACCCUGAUCCAGCAACGCCGCGUGGGCGAUGAAGGUCUUCGGAUCGUAAAGCCCUUUUCUGCGGGAAGAGAGAGGACGGUACCGCAGGAAUAAGUCUCGGCUAACUACGUGCCAGCAGCCGCGGUAAAACGUAGGAGGCGAGCGUUAUCCGGAUUUACUGGGCGUAAAGCGCAUGCAGGCGGUUCUGCAAGUUGGGCGUGAAAUCUCUCGGCUUAACCGGGAGGGGUCGUUCAAUACUGCAGGACUUGAGUGCAGGAGAGGAAAGCGGAAUUCCCGGUGUAGCGGUAAUAUGCGCAGAUAUCGGGAAGAACACCAGUGGCGAAGGCGGCUUUCUGGCCUGUAACUGACGCUAAGAUGCGAAAGCCAGGGGAGCGAACGGG